ACUUAUACAUUGUCUUCUCUGGUACAAAACCCUUUGGUCUCCACUUUGUCUCUCUUAAGUCUUACCAUAAAACAGAGCAGAGAAGGUAAAACCCGAAGUUUGAAAACCAUCAAAAAUGAUUCAAAGGCUCACUUACCGUACUCGCCAUAGCUACGCUACCAAAUCCAAUCAACACCGUGUCGUUAAGACCCCUGGUGGGAAAUUGGUCUAUCAGACAACUAAGAAAAGAGCAAGUGGGCCUAAGUGUCCUGUCACUGGCAAGAGAAUUCAGGGUAUUCCUCACUUGAGACCUGCUGAAUACAAAAGGUCUAGAUUGCCAAGGAACUGCCGGACUGUGAAUCGUGCUUAUGGUGGUGUUUUGUCCUGCAGUGCUGUUAGAGAGAGGAUAAUUCGAGCCUUCUUGGUGGAAGAGCAGAAAAUUGUAAAGAAGGUUCUGAAGAUCCAGAAGUCCAAGGAAAAGCAAGCUUCAAAGAGCUAAGAAAUUAGAUGUCGAAUCAUCAUUUCAAUUCUGAUAUGUGAUCAGCAAGGCUUUGGAAAGUGCCACCAAUGACUUCAGAAGAUUAGAGCUGGACGGUAUAGACGACCCACAUUCUCUUCCACCUUGAUCAAUUGUCUCUCAGAGACCUCAUGCAACCCUUCCAAUCUAAUCAGUCUUCUAUAUCUGUCUCUGUGAGGAAGAGUGAGUUUCUUAAAUUUGGGUUAUCUUGGAACAGGUGGCAAAGACUAUUGGUGGGUCUCGUCAAGACUGUAGGGAGCAUAGGAGAGAGUGAGUUUGGAUGAUAGUGGCAAGGAUGAAUCGGGAAUGGGAAGCAAAGUCAUGGUGGAUGUAAUUGUAACAAUCUUGCUGGAAGAAGAUGAAAGAGAAAAUGUGUGACCAAACUCUUUGUAUAAUUUUAAUAUGAAUUAUAAGACCAAAUUAAGUUUAUUUGCUUUGCGUUCCCAAA